UAGGACUUAGUGAUCCGGUGGUUCUAAAUGGAUAGGCCAUCGCUCAAGAAAUAAAAGUUACGCUAGGGAUAACAGGCUAAUAGCGCGAAAGAGUUCAUAUCGUAAGCGCUGUUUGGCACCUCGAUGUCGACUCAUCCUAUCCUCCAGGUGCAUAAGCUUGGAAGGGUUCUGCUGUUCGCAGAUUAAAAGGGUACGCGAGUUGGGUUCAAUACGAUGAGAGUCAGUAUGGUUCCUAUCUUCUAGAUAGAAGAAUUAUUAAGUUUGGACGGAUCUUUAGUACGAAAGGACUUAGAUCUGCGUUCCUCUAGUGUACCAAUUGUUGAGUCUAUACUUGGCAUCGUUGGGUAGCCACGAACGUUAAGGAGAAGAGCUGAAGGCAUAUAAGCUACGAAACCAACCAAAGGAAAUAAUAUAAGGCAGGAGGUAGACUACC
rnacentral:rRNA from 1 species